rnacentral:rRNA from 1 species
AUUGAACGCUGGCGGCAGGCCUAACACAUGCAAGUCGAGCGGAUGAAGGGAGCUUGCUCCUGGAUUCAGCGGCGGACGGGUGAGUAAUGCCUAGGAAUCUGCCUGGUAGUGGGAGAUAACGUCCGGAAACGGGCGCUAAUACCGCAUACGUCCUGAGGGAGAAAGUGGGGGAUCUUCGGACCUCACGCUAUCAGAUGAGCCUAGGUCGGAUUAGCUAGUUGGUGGGGUAAAGGCCUACCAAGGCGACGAUCCGUAACUGGUCUGAGAGGAUGAUCAGUCACACUGGAACUGAGACACGGUCCAGACUCCUACGGGAGGCAGCAGUGGGGAAUAUUGGACAAUGGGCGAAAGCCUGAUCCAGCCAUGCCGCGUGUGUGAAGAAGGUCUUCGGAUUGUAAAGCACUUUAAGCUGGGAGGAAGGGCAGUAAGUUAACACCUUGCUGUUUUGACGUUACCAACAGAAUAAGCACCGGCUAACUUCGUG